rnacentral:rRNA from 1 species
AUUGAACGCUGGCGGCGUGCCUAACACAUGCAAGUCGAGCGGUAACAGGUGUAGCAAUACAUGCUGACGAGCGGCGAACGGGUGAGUAAUGCUUCGGAAUCUGCCCAUGUAGUGGGGAAUAACCAGCCGAAAGGUUGGCUAAUACCGCAUACGACCUACGGGUGAAAGCAGGGGAUCGCAAGACCUUGCGCUAUUGGAUGAGCCGAAGUCGGAUUAGCUGUUGGUAGGGUAACGGCCUACCAAGGCGACGAUCCGUAGCUGGUCUGAGAGGACGACCAGCCACACUGGGACUGAGACACGGCCCAGACUCCUACGGGAGGCAGCAGUGGGGAAUAUUGGACAAUGGGGCGAACCCUGAUCCAGCGACGCCGCGUGUGUGAAGAAGGCCU